CGGCGCUACCAUGACGCGCCGUCCGCACUGAUCAGGCCCACACUAGUGAGCCCGGGGACAGUUGGAGAAGCCGAGCCAGCCAGCAACCAGACUGCACCAGUCAGCCAGAGGAUCAGAAUGCGCUGACAUAGUGAGGAGCCGUCUGGGCGUCACGUUCUGCAGAGAGAACAUUUAGCUGGACCCGGUGGCCAAUUAAUCCAGGAUUGAUGGAGAUUCACUCUAUACUGCUUUUGGAAUAAUUAUACCUAAUAAACUUCUAAUAAUGUUAUUUCUAUGUACAUCCCAGAUGGUUCUUUUCAGUAUCAUGUUACCAAAUUUUACAUGUGAUAAAUAUGUCUAUGAUAUGGAUUAUGUGAUGUGAACUUCUUUUUAGUGCUCUUAACAUUUUACAUUAUCAGGGAUUCAUAUGACUUGAAUAAUAGAUCCCUAUAUUGCCAUAUUGAUACAUGAUUCUAUUAUCCACGAUAUCUGUAGUAUAACUGUACUGUGUUACACUAUCAUGCUUUCAGUAUAUCACCUAUGCUUUAUAUUUUGUACAUAACUUUGUUUGUGUUGAUAUGAUCCUCACUUUUGUUUUGUAUUUAUUAUGUUAUAGUAUAAAUCUGAUGAAGGUCCUGGUAGGGCCGAAACUU